UGCCGAGGGCCAUCCGGCAUCCUAGAUGGGGAGCCGUGGGACCUCCCUCGUGCCUGUGGUGGUGGGAUCCCAUGGCAGUGUUUUCCUGGUGGCCCGGCCGUGCCUGAGGUUU
rnacentral:pre_miRNA from 10 species